UGACUGCGUACCUUUUGUAUAAUGGGUCAGCGACUUAUAUUCUGUAGCAAGGUUAACCGUAUAGGGGAGCCGAAGGGAAACCGAGUCUUAACUGGGCGUUAAGUUGCAGGGUAUAGACCCGAAACCCGGUGAUCUAGCCAUGGGCAGGUUGAAGGUUGGGUAACACUAACUGGAGGACCGAACCGACUAAUGUUGAAAAAUUAGCGGAUGACUUGUGGCUGGGGGUGAAAGGCCAAUCAAACCGGGAGAUAGCUGGUUCUCCCCGAAAGCUAUUUAGGUAGCGCCUCGUGAACUCAUCUUCGGGGGUAGAGCACUGUUUCGGCUAGGGGGUCAUCCCGACUUACCAACCCGAUGCAAACUGCGAAUACCGAAGAAUGUUAUCACGGGAGACACACGGCGGGUGCUAACGUCCGUCGUGAAGAGGGAAACAACCCAGACCGCCAGCUAAGGUCCCAAAGUCACAGUUAAGUGGGAAACGAUGUGGGAAGGCUCAGACAGCCAGGAUGUUGGCUUAGAAGCAGCCAUCAUUUAAAGAAAGCGUAAUAGCUCACUGGUCGAGUCGGCCUGCGCGGAAGAUGUAACGGGGCUAAACUGUGCACCGAAGCUGCGGCAGCGACGCUUAUGCGUUGUUGGGUAGGGGAGCGUUCUGUAAGCCUGCGAAGGUGUCCUGUGAGGGAUGCUGGAGGUAUCAGAAGUGCGAAUGCUGACAUAAGUAACGAUAA
rnacentral:rRNA from 1 species